rnacentral:rRNA from 1 species
CCUACGGGAGGCAGCAGUGGGGAAUAUUGGACAAUGGGGGGAACCCUGAUCCAGCGACGCCGCGUGAGUGAAGAAGUAUUUCGGUAUGUAAAGCUCUAUCAGUAGGGAAGAAAAUGACGGUACCUGACUAAGAAGCCCCGUCUAACUACGUGCCAGCAGCCGCGGCAAUACGUAGGGGGCAAGCGUGAUCCGGAUUUACUGGGCGUAAAGGGAGCGUAGACGGUGUAGCAAGUCUGAUGUGAAAGGUCGGGGGCGAACCCCGGGACUGCAUUGGAAACUGUUGAACUGGAGUACAGGAGAGGUAAGCGGAAUUCCUAGUGUAGCGGUGAAAUGCGUAGAUAUUAGGAGGAACGCCAGUGGCGAAGGCGGCUUACUGGACUGUAACUGAUGUUGAGGCUCGAAAGCGUGGGGAGCGAACAGGAUUAGAUACCCGAGUAGUC